GAGUUAGUAUCUCAGUGGUAGAGUGCAUGCUCUGUAUGUAUGAUGUCCCUGGUUCAAUUCCCCAGCUUC
rnacentral:tRNA from 1 species